rnacentral:lncRNA from 1 species
CAGAUGAACUAAAAGUGCUUAAAUACUGAACAGGAAGGAGAGGUAACUGUAAGAAUCGCCCUGGGAAUGCCUAAUCCAAAGGAGCAGCUCAAAUGACAGGCACACAGAUGGAUGCAUUGUGUGAUUAAUGAUGUCUCCCAGGCCUGGUGGAGAGGAUGCAGGAAAUGGUGGCAUAUAUAAGCGAGUCCUCUUUUUGGUUUAGUGCUCCUUCCACGGUUUGAAGUAGAGAAGAAUCAGGUAAAAUUCCAACCUCAUUGUUUGCUAGAAAAUAUGAAGGAUAAAGUCGCCAGGACUUCACUUUGUGCUACUGCAAGUGCAUCAAAACCAAUAUUGUGUCUUUAGCAUUCGAAUCCAUGAACUUCUGAAAGAGAAACCAAAAAGCCGUGUCAGGUAUGGUUGGAGCCCGCAUUUUCAUUUGGGAGCAGAAGCAUGUCACAUAGUCUUCUAAAAAGAGAAAUUUUGCUUAAAAAUGACACAACAAAAUAAAAUGCUGACUAAGUCAUGGUAAGAAGUAGUCUUUGAAUUUGAAUAAAGUGUAGCAGUGCUGUAAAGGCAAAGAAA